rnacentral:rRNA from 1 species
GAGACCCCUGUUGGUAAUUGCUAACAGUCCAGAGAUGGAUUGAGGCUAGUUACCAAGACUGCCGCUGCUAAAGCGGAGGAAGGAGGGGGCCACGGCAGGUCAGUAUGCCCCGAAACUCCUGGGCCACACGCGGGCUGCAAUGGUAGGGACAAUUGGUCCCGACUUCGAAAGAAGGAGGCAAUCCGCAAACCCUACCCCAGUUGUGAUUGAGGGUUGAAACCCGCCCUCAUGAAUAUGGAAUCCCUAGUAACCGCGUGUCAUCACCGCGCGGUGAAUAC